AAAGUCCAAUGGUUUUUCUUGGUAUAGAUUAGCUGAUGAAGUAAUUGGUUAGGUAUAUGUGUUUCUAUGAGCACCGUUGUUGACCCCGUUAUGCCAUGUAUGGAGUGGAGAAGAGUCACGAGGGGUGGUCUUAAUGGCAUCCAGUGGCAAUAUGGAAUCCUGCUUUCAGGCUGUAUUUGCUACGUCAAUAACUGAAACACCAGCCACAUAGUUGACUAUUGAUAUUAAUAUGUCAGUUUAUAGCCGAUUUUCGAUCUCAGUCCACGCUCUCCAAAGUAAUUAAUUAGUUGAUUUUUGCAUAUACAAUAUAUGAGAACUUUACGAUCGUUUCGUAUGUAUACCCACCAGAACUAUAGUUAAUUUCCUCUUAUAUUUUAUAUAUCUUCUGGGUUUCAGCAUUAAGAUGAGCUAUGAUGUUGAGUCAUUACAUAAUUUUCUAUAAUGUGAUGUUUAGUAUAUCAGCUUCCCAACUUUCUUGAAAUAAUGUGUAACACUGUGCAUAACUUUUACUUGGUUUAUUUGAUAGUUAGACUACAAUCCUACUGACAAUGCAAAAGUUAUGCUAAUAGCAAGGAGUACUUGAUUUGUACAGGUUCAUAUUUACAUCAUAUAUUGAUUGAUGAUGUUUCAAUAUAAAACGAAAUAUUCAUAUACAAUCAUUAUUAUGGGAGAAAUAUUCUAAACAUUUGUUUCUAACAGCAUGUAUAUCGUUCCUCUGCAGUUUCAUUAUUUGGAUUUCAGAGUAGCCACUUGUAGAAAACAUAAUAAGGAUCUCAUGAGGACGUGGGAGAAGGAACGACAACAAUUGGUGCAGAUUCAGAAGAUAUGGAUGGUUAUAUUUGUGUGUGACAAGUAUACUGUAAUGAUGAUGAUGAUGAUGGUGGUGGUCCAGUUCAUGAUGAUGAAGAUUGAUGCUUUUAGUUUUAGUUAAGUUGUACGGAUGUUGUUCAUGUUGGAUGAUGUUCCUUGGUUAAGUUUUACUUAAGUUGUAGGGAUGUCAAGAAAAUAUUUAGAUUAUGUACAUUGGGAUGAUGUUCCUCCUAUAAUA